AUAGAUGAUUGUGAAGCAACAUUAUUUAGCUUUUCUCCAUCUAUGAUCUAUGUUCUUCUCUGGACUUUCUUUUUUUUUUGACUCAUUCUAAGUUACUUUAUAUUGCCUGUGUUGCUUGAUGUGUUGGGUUUUGGGUUUGUAGUGUUGAUUGCUACUAUUUAUGUAUCUUUUGUAUGAUAGUCAAAGUAUUUUUUUAAGUCAUCACAUUCGGUCUACAAACUUCUGUGUUUUAAAGUCAAUUUAAAAAAAUUAGCUGCUGGGACAUCUUUCCUUUAGAACUAGAAUAUUGAAUGCUUCCAUUGAAAUAUUGUACAACUAGCACGGGGCAAUUUAUUAGUUAUAUACUAUUUAUAGUUGCUUCCUUACAUUUAGACUAUCUUACUCCUCUAGACAUAAGCCGUUUUACUUGGAACAUUUUUCAAGUUGUCCCAUUAAAAUGAUUUUAGUAUGACUUUCAUGUCAGUAUCAAGUAUAAAAAUAGAGGUUAACCAUGUAAAUGUUUCAAUUAAGGCUUUAAAACUGAACUGUUUCACAACUUCUCAUAUUGAAUCUUCUUUACUUCCUGGUACUAUGUUGUCAGUACUAACUAGAUUAAAACAAAAAUCUCUUUAACAAUCAUAAAUUUCAAUGAUAUUUUGCUUUCCUGCUUUCCUGAUGGGGUUGAUGGAUUAAAAGCAAACCAAGUCAAAACAAAACCCAGACAGUCAACUGAAGCCACCAAUUUACCGUGGAAAAUGCCUGUUCAUUAAAAAACCAUUAUCCAACAGAGUUUCUGCAACAAUUUUGUUAUUUCUACAGCACCAGCCCUGGUCCGAGCAUUUUACACAUAAUCCUCACAAGAACCCUCUGAGCCACUUGUCAUAGAAAUGGCACUCACUCAGCAAACCCAGCUGUAGACAGCCUUUUGAAGACAAGAACAACAAAUUCACCAGUCAGGGAACAAAGCAAGAGAAAAAUGAAGAACAAUAUUAGAAAAGAACCCUUUGGGAAGCUGCACAAAAAAUGUUAUAUUAAAAUCGAUACCAGGGCUUGACCUUUUGUGAAGUACGUCCGUGACUUAACUUUUGAUUCAGAGAUAGAAGACACGAAGUAAGAGAAUGAAGAGGAGGUACCCUAAAAUUAAUCAUACAGAAUUUU